UAGGGAAUCUUCCGCAAUGGACGCAAGUCUGACGGAGCAACGCCGCGUGAGUGAAGAAGGAUUUCGGUUUGUAAAACUCUGUUGUUAGAGAAGAACAGCGCAUAGAGUAACUGUUAUGCGUGUGACGGUAUCUAACCAGAAAGCCACGGCUAACUACGUGCCAGCAGCCGCGGUAAUACGUAGGUGGCAAGCGUUGUCCGGAUUUAUUGGGCGUAAAGCGAGCGCAGGCGGUCAAUUAAGUCUGAUGUGAAAGCCCCCGGCUCAACCGGGGAGGGUCAUUGGAAACUGGUUGACUUGAGUGCAGAAGAGGAGAGUGGAAUUCCAUGUGUAGCGGUGAAAUGCGUAGAUAGAUGGAGGGACACCAGUGGCGAAGGCGACUCUCUGGUCUGUAACUGACGCUGAGGCUCGAAAGCGUGGGUAGCAAACAGG
rnacentral:rRNA from 1 species